rnacentral:lncRNA from 1 species
GCACAACGUAUCUCCCUUCCUGCCCCUAGUCUAAGCUUCACGUUUCAUUUCUUCCACUCGCGGUCUGCCGCUUCCCAGGUCACCUUUCCUUUUGGAGCAAGAUCGCGGGGAGCCUUUGAAAAGGGAAGUUGGGGGGCGCACACAGAGGCCUUGGUUUCCGGCCUGUGAGUGGGAAUGCUGACCUGAUUUUUUUUUCUUUUCUUUCUCCAGGAGUAGCUGAUUCAGAUUAAUCGGUUAGCAGCUGGCGCUUUAUGCUGACUCUGAAAGAGUCUCAUGGAUUCAAGUUUAAAUUGGAGAAGAGGAGAGAGAAGAGACGAGUGACAGGAAGAAGGGCCUGGGGCCAAGAUGUGCAGAGAAGCUGGAGGUUCACGUACGUCACUCAGCGUGUCUCCUCAUUUCUCUUCUGCACCCGGGUGCUGCAGUCUCUCACCUGGGGUCCAGGGCUCCUGUGGAGGUGUGAGGAUGGUCUUUUAUAUCACUUUUUCCUUGAGGGGACACAGGCUGCGGCCUCCUGUGGUACCAUCUCACUGAUGUCCUCUUAAUCGAGUCAUUACAUCAUUAUCCACCAUCCGGAAAGCCCUCAUUAAAACCUGUAGGAGACACAGACCACUUUCCUUGUUUUCUGGAUUUCUCAGCCUAGAGGCGUAGAUCUAGCGGAGU